rnacentral:rRNA from 1 species
AGUGAACGCUGGCGGUAGGCCUAACACAUGCAAGUCGAACGGCAGCACAGUAAGAGCUUGCUCUUACGGGUGGCGAGUGGCGGACGGGUGAGGCAUACAUCGGAAUCUACUUUUUCGUGGGGGAUAACGUAGGGAAACUUACGCUAAUACCGCAUACGACCUACGGGUGAAAGCAGGGGAUCUUCGGACCUUUCGCGAUUGAAUGAGCCGAUGUCGGAUUAGCUAGUUGGCGGGGUAAAGGCCCACCAAGGCGACGAUCCGUAGCUGGUCUGAGAGGAUGAUCAGCCACACUGGAACUGAGACACGGUCCAGACUCCUACGGGAGGCAGCAGUGGGGAAUAUUGGACAAUGGGCGCAAGCCUGAUCCAGCCAUACCGCGUGGGUGAAGAAGGCCUUCGGGUUGUAAAGCCCUUUUGUUGGGAAAGAAAAGCAGCAGGUUAAUACCCCGCUGUUCUGACGGUACCCAAAGAAUAAGCACCGGCUAACUUCGUG